GCAUAUCAAUAAGCGGAGGAAAAGAAACCAACAGGGAUUGCCCUAGUAACGGCGAGUGAAGCGGCAACAGCUCAAAUUUGAAAUCUGGCUCUUUUAGAGUCCGAGUUGUACUUUGCAGAGGGCGCUUUGGCUUUGGCAGCGGUCCAAGUUCCUUGGAACAGGACGUCACAGAGGGUGAGAAUCCCGUACGUGGUCGCUGGCUAUUGCCGUGUAAAGCCCCUUCGACGAGUCGAGUUGUUUGGGAAUGCAGCUCUAAAUGGGAGGUACAUUUCUUCUAAAGCUAAAUAUUGGCCAGAGACCGAUAGCGCACAAGUAGAGUGAUCGAAAGAUGAAAAGCACUUUGGAAAGAGAGUCAAACAGCACGUGAAAUUGUUGAAAGGGAAGCGCUUGCAGCCAGACUUGCUUGCAGUUGCUCAUCCGGGCUUUUUUGCCCGGUGCACUCUUCUGUAGGCAGGCCAGCAUCAGUUUGGGCGGUAGGAUAAAGGUCUCUGUCACGUACCUCCUUUCGGGGAGGCCUUAUAGGGGAGGCGACAUACUACCAGCCUGGACUGAGGUCCGCGCAUCUGCUAGGAUGCUGGCGUAAUGGCUGUAAGCGGCCCGUCUUGAAACACGGACCAAGGAGUCUAACAUCUAUGCGAGUGUUUGGGUGUCAAGCCCGAGCGCGUAAUGAAAGUGAACGGAGGUGGGAACCCGCAAGGGUGCACCAUCGACCGAUCCUGAUGUCUUCGGAAGGAUUUGAGUAAGAGCAUGGCUGUUGGGACCCGAAAGAUGGUGAACUAUGCUUGAAUAGGGUGAAGCCAGAGGAAACUCUGGUGGAGGCUCGCAGCGGUUCUGACGUGCAAAUCGAUCGUCAAAUUUGGGCAUAGGGGCGAAAGACUAAUCGAACUAUCUAGUAGCUGGUUCCUGCGA
rnacentral:rRNA from 1 species